CUCAUUUCUCAGCCACAAUUUUUUUUUCAGUCUCUCUUUCAUUCAUUGAUCUGAAGAACUUCUUUUCUCCUGAAAUCCUACUAGGGAAAUAAACAAACUCAUAAAUUCGCUUUCACAAUCAGUUGUGUGGAAAGAAUUGAGAAGUAUGGCUAAAGUUGUUUUGAAUCAGAAACAAAUAGGGGACUGGAAAAUGUUGUGUUGCAGUUGGAUUUUAUGGAUGUAAGAAUGUGUUGAGUCCUGGUAGCAUUAGGAAAUAUGGGUGCGUGUUGGAUUCGAGUUGCAGGUAAGGAGGGGACAUAAAAGAACCUGAAACAAACAACAACAAGGCACCUCUCUCAAGAAACAAGACUGCACGAAAGAGGUUUGUCUAAAGUCCCGAAAGAAGAGAUAAUUAGUUGCAACAGUCGACUCUUCAGCCUGGCUGGAUCUCCAUUGCCUUCACUUCAAAAUUGCAUCUCUUGGUAGUUUCUAGCUUUUGGGUGACUGUGGCACAACCAUUACCUCCUGUGAAUUUGACUGUCACUAGUCUUCCAGCAGAUGGGUAAGUGUGUACCUUUAUCUUUCAUAUCAUUUAUAAUUUAUGUGUUCUUUGCUUGUAUUACAUAGUAGCUUUAGCUACCGUUUUAUAGAACAAACCCAGUGCAGACCAUUGGAGAAAACAUUUCAACUAACGAGGGUAGAUAGAGAAUUAGGACAUGAAGGAGAGUACGUUGUUCAAGUUGGUUGUCAAUUGCGUAAUAUAUGCUUGUAUAUCGAGGAGUUCCACUGGAUUUUAUGCAGGUAAUUUUGCAUUUUCUAAGUUAUAUUUAAUACUGCAAAGUGUGUUAUAAUGUGAAGUUCUGGAUUCAUCUUACUCAUUUAUGGUGCGGUUGGGUUCUUACAUAAGAAAAUGGAAAGAGCCGUCAUUCAAAUUUUAAAUAUAAGCUCGUAGCAAGGCAUUUAUAUAUGUUUUCCAUCUACUUCUGCCGCCUGUAUGAUUAUGUUUUUGUGUUGUUUUUCAUAUGAAACUUAAGCGGCGUAGUUGGAGUAUGGAAAUGUUGAUGACUAGUGCUCCAAUCACUGUUUCGGCUGGUUGGAGGAGUUAUCAGACAACUUCUCAAUUACACUCCAGAACAUAAGGAGUGUCUUGUGGUGUUUUGGGACCCUUUAGCAACUUCUUUGAAAACCAGCUCAUGACAAGUAUAAUGCAGGUCUUUGGGCUUAAGUCAAAAAGUAGUACUCUGGUGAUAUUUUAACAGUAGCUGAAUCAUUUGCUGAGGAAAUUGGUUACGCAAGCGGAGUCUCGUGAUAUUUCUGGUGAUAUUUUAGUCUUUCUUUCCCUGUUUUUCAGUUGACACAAACUAGGUUACCCAUCCAUUUAUGAACAUCAACAUAGAUCGAAUAUUGUAUGUCAGUCACAAAAUUUUAGGUUCUCAACAAUACAGUUUAAACUGUGUACGUUUGUAUCAUUUGAAAAAUCCU